CUACGGGCGGCUCCAGUGAGGAAUAUUGCACAAUGGGGGGAACCCUGAUGCAGCAACGCCGCGUGGGGGAUGACGCAUUUCGGUGUGUAAACUCCUUUUAUAUGUCAAGAAAAUGACGGUAGCAUAUGAAUAAGCACCGGCUAACUCCGUGCCAGCAGCCGCGGUAAUACGGAGGGUGCAAGCGUUACUCGGAAUCACUGGGCGUAAAGGACGCGUAGGCGGGUUGGAAAGUCAGGUGUGAAAUCCUACAGCUUAACUGUAGAACUGCACUUGAAACUUCUAAUCUAGAGUAUGGGAGGGGGAGAUGGAAUUAGUGGUGUAGGGGUAAAAUCCGUAGAUAUCACUAGGAAUACCCAAAGCGAAGGCGAUCUCCUGGAACAUUACUGACGCUAAGGCGUGAAAGCGUGGGGAGCAAACAGGAUUAGAUACCCUAGUAGUC
rnacentral:rRNA from 1 species